rnacentral:rRNA from 1 species
GAAACUGCGAAUGGCUCAUUAAAACAGUUAUAGUUUAUUUGAUAAUGGAACGCUACAUGGAUAACCGUAGUAAUUCUAGAGCUAAUACAUGCUUGUAACCUGACUUUUCGGAAGGGUUGUAUUUAUUAGAUAUGAAGCCAAUAGGUCGAAAGACUUAUUGUGAGGAAUCAUAGUAACUGAUCGAAUCUCCAAAUUUGGAGAUAAAUCAUUCAAGUUUCUGCCCUAUCAGCCUUCGAUGGUAGUGUAUUGGACUACCAUGGCCAUCACGGGUAACGGAGAAUUAGGGUUCGAUUCCGGAGAGUUAGCCUGAGAAAUAGCUAACACAUCUAAGGAAGGCAGCAGGCGCGUAAAUUACCCAAUCCUGACUCAGGGAGGUAGUGACAAGAAAUAACAACUCGGGGUACUUCGGUACUUACGGGAUUGGCAUGAGAAAAAUUCAAAUCACUUAGCGAGGAACAAUUGGAGGGCCAGUCUGGUGCCAGCAGCCGCGGUUAUUCCCAGCUCCCAAUAGCCGUAUAUUUAAAUUUGUUGCAGUUAAAAAAGCUCGUUACUC